rnacentral:ncRNA from 1 species
AUCGGGGUACACGUCACGUUAAACAAAUCAAGGAUUCUGUCCCUAUCUACUAUCUAGCGAAACCACAGCCAAGGGAACGGGCUUGGAAUAAUUAGCGGGGAAAGAAGACCCUUUUGAGCUUGACUCUAAUCUGGCAGUGUAAGGAGACAUAAGAGGUGUAGAAUAAGUGGGAGAUAUUAGGCUUCGGUUUGAUAUCGCCAAUGAAAUACCACUACUCUUAUUGUUUCCUUACUUACUUGAUUAAGUGGAACGUGUAUCAUUUCCUAGCCAUUAUACGGAUAUAUUAAUUAUGUCUUAUGGUAUUGGGUUUUGAUGCAAGCUUCUUGAUCAAAGUAUCACGAGUUUGUUAUAUAAUCGCAAACAAAUUCUUUAAUGAGAAAAUGCAGCAAUGUGUUUUUGAUUUAAUAAUUUGGUAUAACUCCAAUUACUCAGGUAUGAUCCAAUUCAAGGACAUUGCCAGGUAGGGAGUUUGACUGGGGCGGUACAUCUCUCAAAUAAUAACGGAGGUGUCCCAAGGCCAGCUCAGUGCGGACAGAAACCACACAUAGAGCAAAAGGGCAAAUGCUGACUUGAUCUCGGUGUUCAGUACACACAGGGACAGCAAAAGCUCGGCCUAUCGAUCCUUUUGGUUUAAAGAGUUUUUAACAAGAGGUGUCAGAAAAGUUACCAUAGUGAUAAAUGGGCAAAGGCGGCCAAGUGUUCAUAGAGAAGUCGGUAUAUGAUCGUUUGAUGUUGGAUAUUCCAAUCCC